ACAAAGUGUGGCUGAUUUGAUGUUGUUGUCAUUCUAAGCCUUGACCGUGUUGAAGGCCUUGUUGUUGUGGAGUUGGGCGUUGGAAUUUGUUGUUGUUCUUGGAGAAUAUUGUUGUUGUUCUUGGUGUUGUUAUUGUGUUCUUGUUGUUCUUCACCCUUUUCAUCUUUUGUUAAAACAAAAAGUGAACAUUAGAUCCACAAAAGGUGUAAGACCAAGUUGUAGUACUUGUUGGUGAAAGACUUGAUCACAUCACUCAAAAGACUUGACAACCACUUUUCACCUACUUUGCUUGAUUUAAGGACCUUGUUUCAAGGAGAAAUUACCAAGAAGGUCAAGUCUAGUUUUGAACAUGAAAAUGAAGCUCCAAGACCAAAUUUCCCUCCAUUAACCAAAUCCACCAUUUCAAAAUUAUAGAUUGGUCAAGACUUGAAACUGGAGAGUAAAAUUUUGAUAAAAACGAAGCCAAUAGUGGAAUGCCAUAUCACUAAAUUACUGUUUAUGCAACAUUUUGAGUUCAACUUUUAGAUUUCGUAGUUUCAUUUUAUUUUUCUUAGUUUCGUUUGUUGGUUUGAACACUAAUUGAUGACCUAGUAAUCUCCUACUAGCUUGUUAGUUAGUUUUUGUGCCCGUUUGUUCGUGUUGGCAUUAUUUUGUGCUUUUCUUGUUUUUGAAUCGUAGAAUUUCUUGGUUUAAGUUUGGACAUUAUUUCCUUGAGUCUUCAAACAAAGAAUUCAUUUUGACCAAGGAGUAAACUCACCCCUCGACUCAUCACGAACUACAAGCCAACUUGCAACACUUGUGAAUCCAAGUGUGAAAUGAUCAAGUGUGUGAGUGUGUGGUGAGGUUGUUUCGAACUAACUUGUGUUUUAUUUUGUAGACUUGUUCUUUUCUUUUUUUUUUAGGUGCAAUUACGAUGGAAUCCGCGGCUGCAAGUGCUAUUUUGGCUAAACUUAAAGCCAUUACCCAUCAAUGGGAAGUGAUAAAUGAAAGGUUGGAUCAUAUGAGAGUUCCAAGGGAGCAAGUGGGCUACCCGUACACACGUCAAGAUGAAGACCGUAGCUUAUGUAAGCUACGAGGUAAAAAUGUUAUCCUCUACACUCAUAUGAAUGUAGUUGCGAUUUUACCUAGUGUAGGAGUGCAUGAGUCUUCAUUUUGUGAUACUCUUGAUAUUGUUAGGUCACAUGAGGACCAAACUCUUGUUGUAGGUACACAAGCACUAAUUGAUCCUUUAGAUGACGAAAUUGAUUCUCUUCGUGAGAAUGAUUUGUGUCCAUCUGGUGCUAGGACUUACAACUUGACUAAGGUUCCAUUACCAAGUGACGAGAGUAUUCACACACUAGUUAAACCUUGUGAAAAACAAGGUGAGUCUACGUUGGUAUGUGAAUUCCUAGUAACUAGUGAGGGUGAGAAAAAUGAUAAAUCGGGCGUAUAUGAUCUUGAUUUUCUUAAAUAUUUAGAAACCCGAGUUGUGAUUGUGUUUGUGAAGAUGAUUUUGAUUUUGGUCCUUUGGCUUCCCGUGAUGGUUUGUACAUAUGUGAGGACAACUCUUGUGAAAGAGAACGUGAUAUGUUCUUAGAAAUGUCAUCUACUUCGUCUUUAUGUGUUUCUUAUGUUGGGCAUAUUCCUAGUGGAAAUUUUGAAACUGGUAGUAAAUGCAUGCAUGGGAACCCUUUAUUUUAAGUUGAGUUAUGGAAUACCUUUCUCAACCCUCUUUCAGUUCAUGAUAUUUUCAAUAGUGAUAAAGAGGGCUUGCUUAAUUUCGAGGAUGACACCCUAGGGGAAAGUGAGAAUGACCGAGACCUAAGCCUUUGGUUACAUCUCCCAUUCACUCCCGGUAACUUCUUAGGGUGUGAAGGAUGGAUAGUUGUUGUUUGGUCCACUUAUUUGAGUGAUAUUGUCAUAUGUGUUAGGUGGACUUUACUUUCAAUUAGGACAUCACCCCUUGAUGGUGAUUCCUUUCGCCAACUCCUUUGUAAAUUUUUUUCUAAGUCCCUCGUGAUUAUAACAAAGGAAGUAUGGUUAUAUCUCAAGUGUGUACCUCCUUGGCAUGUUGAUGUUGUUUAUUGUACUAACUCUAACCCUCAUGUCAUAAGGAUGUGGUGUUUGUUUGUCUUCUCUUUGUUCUUGGAAGGUUUGGAUUCGAGGUUGAUUCCUUUUCAAGAAGGGAAGGAUGAUACAAGUCAAAUGGCCACCUUAAUUUUUGAAGACAUGAUUGGAGGUCUUCAUUUAAAGGCUCAAGACUUGGUCACCCUGAGGGCACAAGAAUAUGCAAGGAAGACCCGUUUUGAGCACAAACAAGGCCAUGUGUGAAAGAUUUCUUGGAGCAUCAAAGACUUGAGGACUCACGAUUUUGGACAAUACUUAAUGGGUCAUGAUUUGGUCAUCUUCAUUAAGGGUAUUUUGGUCACUUCAUUGGGUCCAAAUGCACUCCAUGGCUACCCCACCCUUUAAGGGCAUUGUUGUUAUUUUGCCUUGCUUUGUAAUAGAAUAUAAAUAGAACAUUUUAGGUCUUUUUCUCACUAGUUGUUCAUUAAUGUAAGACUUGGAACAUGAAACACCUUUAGUUGUAAGGCUUGGAAUAGCCACCACACCGAAAUGAGGGCAACAAGUGUGGAUAUCACUUGUGUUGCAAUGUUGGCUUGAGACGUUGGUGUUUAGAGGAGAUAAAGUUCCUCUUGUGUCAACGUAGGAGUUAGUUUAACCAUUGUGUGUAGUGUUAAGGGUCCAAGAUUACAAUAUUCUUGGAUUCUUAAGAUUGUACCAACCAAGGUCUAACUAUCUAUCCAUUUUGUUUGUGUUGUAAUUGUUUGUUUGUGUUCUUAUAAUUCAAAUCCGUGACUUGUUGUUCUUGUUCCAUUGUUGUUGUUCUUCAUCUUGUUGUUGUUAACAUAGUUUGUUGUUAGCUGUUUUAGGUGAUAAACACAUCAAUACAUUGUGUUCUUGUUGUUGUUUGUUGAAUCCGAGUGUGGUCUUCAAAAGGGUCCUUGGAUCUUUGAUCUUGUGGACUGAUUUUGAAGUGUGUUUCGUGUUGUCCUUGUAAUUCUUGUAUCAUCUCAUAAUGUCGGUUCAUGUGCUCAAUCUCAGCAAUGACAGUGAUCUUCGAGUACCCUUAUCUACACAUCAGUAUGGUUCGAGGAUCUAUAUCUGUAGCUUUCCCGCUUUCGUAUUUUGAGUGUUACUUUUAUCUUAGUUUGAGUCAGUCGGGGGUCUGUCCCAAUGGCUCUCUAGCUUGAGUAGUAUAGGCUUUGUCAGACUAGACGAUCAGUGGUGUUUUAGACUUUUCAGUAUUGUGCUAUUGAGACAGUAUUCCUCGAUUAUUUCAGUUGAGAUACAAUAUGAUAGUACCUUUAUUUUGCUCUGGUUGUCAUUAGAGUAAGCUAUAAACCUAGUAGUAGGCUCAAUGGGUUAGCUUGGGGCUAGUUGUAGCUUUAAGCACCGUGUGACGCCUCAGGAUGAGAUUUUAGGUCAUUAUAGAAAUUCAAGGAGAGGUGUGCAUAUGUCCUCAACUAUAAGGAUAACAAAUUUGUGUCUACCUCUGAAAAGAUCUUAAGGGAUAAUAUGAGUGAGGGCGAAUCCUUCUAUGUGGAGAUCAUAAGAGGGGACGACAACCAAUUCGCAAUGUUCGGCAGUGGUUGUACGGCUAAAGUCGACCUAAUGGAAAAGUCGUGUUCUUGUAGGAAGUUUGACUUAGUCAAAAUACCAUGCGUUCACGCGAUGGCUGUUUUGUGAUCGAAGUAAGGUGAUGAUUAUGAUUUGAGAGUCUACGAGUACUCUUCACCCAUGUAUAAAGUAGAGUAGUACCUCCUUGCAUAUUCGAAAUCAAUUAAUGUUGUUUCUUUAGAGUUUGAAUGACUCGUGCCAUAAAAAUUGUUAGACGUGAACAUUAUUCCACCCCUUGUCGACACCAAGCUCGGAAGCAAGAAAAGAAAAUGCAUUACGGGUGUGGGCGAGGCUUUCAAGGUGAAGAGGAGGAGCAAUUGUUCGCUGUGGAAGAGACCCGAGCACAAGAGAACCACUAGCAAUAAUAGCAAAUCAUAGUGACUUGUAUGAAUUUAUGUUUUUGUAAGUCAUGGCAGUCUAUGCAUUUUGAUAACCCUGCAGUGUUCUGAUUAAUGCUAGUUUUAUCGAUUUUACUAUGUGUCUAUUAUCUACCAUUUAUGUUAUUGCAGAUAUUGUGUGUCAAUUCUAUUGAGAGUCUUCUUUAUAUACCACAUAGUUUAUUAUCGAUCCUAUUUCAAGUCUAUUGAAAAACCCUAAUUAUUUAAUUGAACAAAUGAAUAGUUGGGAAUUUAUGACACAUCAAAAAAGUUGUUACACGUCCACUCAACGUUGCGUUUAUUAGGUGUACUCUAUCUCUUUAACUGUCGUUCAUCCUCGCGUUUACCUCCCACUGGGCGGGAAUACCAAAAACUUCUAUUUUGGUCUAUAUAAACAACCAUUAACUAUACACAAUAUUCAUCUUCUUCAAUCCAAAAAAUGAUAUAUAAGACCUGAUGUCGAGAUUUCCACUCAGACCACGAAAGAGGGUUUGUUUCCAGCAUUGCCACGACCUUCUCCUCCUUCAAAAUGACCUAGACCGUUUCUUUUACAGUCUGGAUCAGGACAAAGAGCACCUCCACCGCGAACUCCGGCGUAUCGCCCAUUUUUUACAGGCAAUAUGGAGAGGCUGAACGUGGAGACCAAAGAGUUAAUCACCCCCCCCCUCCCCAUCCCCUUAGUUUAGGUUCUAAUUUUUGUUGUAGUUGUAGUUUUAAGUUUAUUGCAAAGAAGCUUUCAUGGUAGGAGAAUUUGUUAGACAAAAGCUUCUUUCUUUUGUCCUUUUUGCUCAUAUUUUGCUGUACAUAUAGUGUUAAACCAUUGCAAUGAACUUACUAAAUGAAGUAUUUUUUUUUGUUUUCUAUAUUUUUUUCUACUUUAAUUUUAUAAUUUUCUUCUUGUUUGAAAUUUUGCAAUUUUCAUGUUAGAAGAUGAAUAAAACAGUUUUCAUAUGUCAAAAUUAAUUCAUAUAUUAUAAUGAAUCUAGUUUAUCCCCGAUUAUGUAGAUUUAUACAAAAUUAAUUGCAAAGUCAAUGGAGUUUAGAAUUUACCGAACUCAAUAUCUAUGGGUGAACAUCUACGUAAUCGAUGAAUUCAACUAUGCGGGUUGGUGAAACGGUAAACAAACAUUAGUACAUAGUCAAAAAUAUAAAUAAUUAAAUAAAUAAAAUUGAUUUGAGGGUCAUUGAUUGUGUCCAGUGUAAAUCAUAGACGUAAAGCCUUGUGAAUAAUAUACCGUAUUGAUUUAUUGCCCAUAGUACAAUAUUAUGAAAAAAGGGAAUAAUUAAUUAAUUAAAAAUAAAUAAUUGAAUUUUAUUCAAUUAAAGGAGCAUAAACAAGUCAUGUGAUAGUAUAAGAGUCCACGUAAAUUGAAGAAAGUGAUCAAAGAUGUGUGAGGAUGGGUAAUAAAUAACAAAUGAAUUAAAUAAAUAAAAUUUAAUUAUUUAUUAUUUUAUUAAUUAAAUAAUCCUUUUCAAAAUAUGUGCUAGUUAUGGUCUAUACAAAUGCAAGUCAUGUCUUACUUUUUGCGGGGCAUAAGAGUUCAAUCCCAAAAGCUAGUCUAAUUAAGUUGUAUCAUUUAACUUGUAAACUCCUUAGUAUAUAUCAAGGCUGGCACCCUCUUGAGACUCUACCGUCCUUGCAUACAAGUUACCACUCUAAAUUGUACUGUAAAUGCAAACACAGAAAUUGCGAAUGGAGAGUAUUAAAAGAUUAGUAAAAGACAUCAUUUCCACCCCAAACUAUACCCGAAAAGUCUAAGUCAAACCUAAACUAUACUAGUGAUCCAUUACACACCUAAACUAUAUAAAAGUGAUAUUAUUACCUCCCCGCGACACCCAUGCCCGAGUUUAAUGAGUGGAGUGCACUCCGCUCGCCCUCUUGUGGUGCCACGUGUCUAAUUUAAUUUUCCUUUUUUAUUAAAGCUUAACCCGACCCUAUUACUCUUUUAACCCAUCUAUUUAACCCAUCCAACCCGACUCGACCUCAUAUUAUACCCUAACCCGAUUAAACCACUUCAUCCAAAUGAAAAGUCAUCGGAUGAGAUCAAAAACGGGGUAAAAGAUUCACCUCUCUUCACUCUUUCAAUUUUUUAUCAAAUUUAAACCCGAUAGAAGAGCUAAACAAUAAUUUUGUUCUGUUUUUCAUUGUUGACAAGUAAAAAUUAUUUUUUAUCUCUUUUCAGUUGAAGUUGAUUGGGUUGAUUUCAAUGGAGGUGGUACGAUCUAGGAUAAACACUUAAGGUUACGAUCUUUUAUGUAGGAACUACUGAUUUUCAGUUCAAAGGUUAGCUUUUUCUUUCCUAAAUAUAGUAUAUCUAGGAUUUAUUUUCGUUCCUAAAUUAGAUCUACGGUUUUUUGAGUUAGGAUUUUUCCGUCUUUAAUUUGUCCAAAUUAGCGUUUUAUUUUCAUUUAGAUGCUCAAUAUGUGCUAAUAUAACCCUUGACAUUUAUAAUAGUUCGAUUUUACUAGGGUUUUGACUAGGGUUUUUAAUUAGGGCUUUUGAAUUAGAGGUUUUUGUUGUCUUUAAUUUAUCUUGAAAACUGAUCUGUUAUAGUUUAUUUAUGUGCUUCAAUCUGUAACAAUAUGAGCUGUGAGGUUCAAUAUGUGAUAAAUAACUUGUGAUACUUAUAAUUGUUGCAUAAAUACUAUAAUUUUUUUAUUUUUGUGUAACAAUAUGAGCUGUGAGGUUUAAUAUGUCAAGCUGCUAUAUGUAGAGGUAUUGAGAAGAAAAAAUAUUUUUGGAGGUGUGCAAGAUCUACCUUUGAGGCUGAGCUUAGGGACAACAUUAGCUAUAUGAAGAUGUUAGGGGGAGAAGAAAUACUAUGUAAGUUGAUGUAUUUUAAUCCAGAGAGAUGGAGCAAUGUUUACUUUAGCUUUGGAACAAAGUGUGAUGUUGUAGACAAUAACAUGGCAGAAUGUCUAAUGCAUGGAUUUUAGGAGUUAGGCAUAAGACUAUAAUUACAAUGUUAGAGGAGAUAAGGGUAAAAAUGAUGAAAAGACUGGGACAGAUGAGGGAUUUUUGUGAAACUUGGAUCAGUGACAUUUCUCCAAUGGCUAUGAAGGUGCUAAAUGAUAAUACAACAAGGUCUAUGAAGUGCAGCAUAGAAUAGAAUUCUGAUACAGGGUAUUAGGUGCUUGAUAGAGGAUAUAGGCAUAUUGUGGAUCUUGGUAGAAAAUAUUGCAGUUGUAGAGCAUGGAUGUUGAAGGGCAUACCGUGUCCUCAUGCAGUGGCUGCUCUUCACCACAAAAAAUUGGAACCAAUAAACUAUAUGUCUCACUAAGAAACUUACAUGAACACAUAUAGUUUCUUCAUUCAACCAGUUUUGAAUAUGAAGAUGUGGCCAUAAUCACAGAAUAUCUCUGUUAUGCCACCUCCUGUUAAGAAGCUGCCAGGUAGGCUUGGAAAGAAUAGGAAGAAAGAAAAAGGUGAAACCAAAAAGAAAACUGAAAAGUUGUCCAAGAGGGGGAUUGAGAUUUCAUGUGGCACUUGCCAUAGCAAGGGUCACAACAAAAGAAGAUGUCCAACAGGUGCACCUGCUGGCACUAAUGCAAAUCCUGGCCCAAGUCCAUCUGCUGGUGCAGACCCAAGUGUAGGUCCAAGUGUAGUCUCAAAUGCAGCACCUACUGUUGGAAAAGGGAAAGGUUCAACUGGAAAAGAAAGGGGUAGACCACCAAAGAAUUCUACGGAAAAGGUAUUUUAUUUAAUUUGACAGUGUUGUGAACUAAUUAUGCUUGCCUUAUACUAAAUAUCUUUUUUUCUUUAUUUUUAGUAUGCUGAUAGACCAAGAAUGGUUGGAAUGGGAUUACUUCACACACAAAGUGGAGACACAAUUCUUAGUGUAAGUUUACUACUACAUUUACUAUCUAAAUUUUAUUUACUACAAUUUCAUUUACUAAAGUUGACACUUUCUUCAUUUGAGCAGCCGGGAAUGCCUAGUGAAAGACUCAAAACUGCCAAGUCUUCAGCAUUUGUGACUGAAAAUCUCGGAUAUACAUCAAAAACUGGUGUAAAAUGGAAAGAAAAAAAAAGCUAUGACCUCCAGGCAACUACAAGAAAUGAGAGGCAGAAAACAAAUGCAAACAAGGUCCAAGGCUGCACACUUAAGUCAAGAAAGCUUCAAUAUUCAAUCUCUAUGAGAAGUUGGUGUAAAUUACAUUUAACACUGUAUAAAGCUUGGCAGUUGUGACUGCAUUUAAGACUAUUUUUGAUAAUUCACUGAUGUUGGCAGCUGGGAUUGCAUUUAACACUAUUUUUUGGUAGUUCACUGAUGUUGGCAGCUGUGACUGCUUUAAGAACAAUUUAUUAGUGGCAGCUUUGACUGCAUUUUGUAACUGUAAUUAGUUUAACAGUAUUGAUCUUUUUGUAAAUGUAUUUGGCUGCAAGAUGUAAUUGACACUUAUUUUUUGUUAAUGAUUGUGCAGUUGUAAGUUCAUUGUUGCUGAAAUUUGUGUUUUUACUUUUGCACCAGUUAUGGCUGCAUUUAUUAAUAUUAAAUUUGUGUUGUGAUAUUGAAAUUUGUGUUUGUGCUUGUACAACAACUGUGAUUGCAUUUAGUGUUGUGAUAUAUAUAAAUUGCAACACAAAGAACCACUGAAAACAAAGCCAAAACUGUUAAGUUCAACCGUACAAUUUCAUUACACAANNNNNNNNNNNNNNNNNNNNNNNNNNNNNNNNNNNNNNNNNNNNNNNNNNNNNNNNNNNNNNNNNNNNNNNNNNNNNNNNNNNNNNNNNNNNNNNUGGACUUAGCCAACUUGAUCUUCCAUUUCUUCUGAUUUGCCUUCAUCAUCUUCAAAUUAUCCUGAAAAUUGUCCAUUUGCAAUUCUAUUUUGUUAAUGUCUAUUUUGCUCUCCACAGAUUUGGUUGUCCUAGUAGUCUUGUCAUCAACUAUUUUGUGUUCACAAAAUACACAAUUUGCCAAAGAUUCAACUCUUUCCUUAAGCUCCCCAAUUCUUCCCAACAAUUUAGGAAUAACAAAUUCGAUCGUUCAUCAAUAGAAUCAUCCUUCCAAAGCCAAAAAGUGCAUGAUCUAGCAUUCUAAAAUAAAAGCAAUUAGAUUCUUAUGCACUAUUCAAGAUCAAUGUUUGAAGGAAAAAUUAACUUACGCCAUAGUAAGGACAAGUCCAAUAUCGUCUACCCAGAUUUCUUGAGGUCCAUGAAGUCAUCAAAGGCAAAAAAUGUCCAUGUUUGCAUCGAACCUCGACCAACUCGUGAUCUUCUUCUUGCUUACAAAGUCUACUCAAACUUAUCUUAGUCAUUAAAGUACCUUGAUUAAGAAAACAAGGUUUAAGAGAGGUUGAACAACACUUGAGGGAAGAAAAAAUUAUGAAAAUGGCAACAAAAUUAAGACAAAAUAAUCAUCAAUAUAGCAAGAAAUGGAAGAAUUAGAAAGAUUUCGUUACCAAUUCUUCAAACAAAUGCUCUUCAAUUUUGAUUUUGAGAGACAAAAUUGGGAAUUAGGGUUUCCUUUUGAGCCCCAAAUUGGUUUUAAAUAAGAAUAGAUCCGUUGCAAAUUAAAGAUGACGUACUUUUAGCCGUUUACGUUUGUCAUUGAAUAGGUUGGAUGCGCUUACAUCAAAUGUAACAUACACGCCUAAGAAUGGGUGUCGCGGGGAGGUAAUAAUAUCAUUUUUAUAUAGUUUAGAUGUGUAAUGGAUCACUUAUAUAAUUUAGGUGUGACUUAAACUUUUCGGGUAUAGUUUGAGGUGGAAACGAUGCCUUUUUCCUACUAUAAAAUGAUACUAUAAAGAAUAUACAUACAUGUACUAAUAGAAUUUUAAAUAAAUAUUUAUAAAGUCAAUUUAAUUCUAUUAUAUUUUUACCUAAAUUAAAAUCAAAUCAUUUAAUUUUUAUUGGUGUAAGAUUGAGUCCUUCGUCAUCCAAACGCUACAAUCAAACCAAAAAUUUUCUAAUUUUGCCAUGUCCGGUAUUUGUCUUUUAUGACAUCUUACUUAACUUUACUAAUCUACAAAUGUUAAAUCAGCAGGUUAUCAUAAAUUAUACAUGAACUUCCCACAGGAAAGAAAAAAAAAAUUGUUGUCUUAUGUCAUAUAGUGGAUUUUAAAUAAGGAGGAAUAGAUCAAACAACUCCAAACUUGUAAACAAAUUUUUACAUAUUUAAAAUACAUGUUUUGAUUGAAUACCUGAACACAUAUAAAGUGUCUCCAGACAUUUUUGACUAAAAUUUAGAAAAAGUUUUUGCAUGUGUUUUCAAAAUUCAAACAACCAUUAUAUAAAUAAGUUAACUACUUGAAAUAUGUCACCUCCUUUAAUUAUAUCCAUUAGUCUCAAUAAAUCAGUAAAACCUCAAAACUUUUCAAAUUGAGGUCGAUGUAUAUGGAAUGUAAGUUUAAUGACGUGAGGCGGGAGAAUGAGGUAGUAGUGAGGCUAGAAGCACAGGAGGUAGGGAAGAGGGAUAAGUUCAAGUAUCUCGGGUCCGUGAUCCAGAGUAACGGUGAGAUUGACGAGGAUGUCUCGCACCGUAUUGGGGCGGGAUGGAUGAAGUGGAAACUCGCAUCGGGGGUGCUGUGUGAUAAGAAGGUGCCGCCCAAGCUUAAAGGCAAAUUCUAUAGGGUGGUAGUCCGUCCGGCCUUGCUGUAUGGAGCGGAGUGUUGGCCAGUUAAGAACUCCCACAUCCAAAAAAUGAAGGUGGCAGAAAUGCGGAUGUUGCGCUGGAUGUGUGGACUGACCCGAGGGGAUAGAGUUCGGAAUGAGACUAUCCGGGAGAAGGUUGGUGUGACUUCAGUGGAGUGUAAGAUGCGGGAAGCACGAUUGAGAUGGUUCGGACACGUGAAGAGGAGGGGCAUGGAUGCCCCGGUCCGUAGGUGUGAGAGGCUAGCGUUGGAUGGUUUUAGACGGGGUAGGGGUAGACCGAAGAAGUACUGGGGUGAGGUGAUUAGGCGGGACAUGGAACAGUUACAGCUCACCGAGGACAUGACCCUAGAUAGGAAGGUCUGGAAGACGCGAAUUACGGCAGAGGAUUAGGGCCAGUGCGGGUCGCUAGUGUAGGGGAUUAAUUGGUGGGGGUGUAUUCCUGUUAUGAUUCUGUAUUCAGUGUUUCGUGUUCCGUGUUUCAUGUCUAUUACGAAUCUGGGUGCUUUCCUCUGCUUUAUAUUCCUGCAAUCCUGCUUUACUCUGUUUUAUAUUCCCUAUGGGUGCCGUAUCUAUGUUAUGUCAUCUGCUGCUGUGCUGUACUAUGUGUUUGUGUGAUAUCUCGUGACUUGAGCCGGGGGUCUUUCGGAAACAGCCUUUCUACUUCAUCAGAGGUAGAGGUAUGGACUGCGUACAUCUUACCCCCCCAGACCCCACUAAGUGGGAAUACACUGGGUUUGUUGUUGUUGUUGUUGUAUGUGAUUAAGUUAUCUAUUUAAUAAAUGAUAGAAAAGAGGCACAAAAGUUUUUCCAAUAAUUGUAUAAAAAGUGUCUAAUACAAACAUUUUAUCAAGCGUUUAGGUGUUCAAUAAGAACAUACACUAGUUCGAGUUUCUAAAUAAAAUUCAAUGACAAGUUUAAAGGGUUGUUGUUAUAUUCCCUUAUUAAACAAUGCUGAGCGCCUUUCUUUUUAAUUUGUUUUUCUUUCUUUCCGUUUUAGUUAGUUUAAAAAAGAAUAUGUAUUUUUUUCGGCAACUCUUAAUUCUAGCUUUCUAUAUACAUGCUUAAGACCACAAGAUUGGAUAUUUUGUUACAUUCUACAAAUCUUAGUUGCAAGACUAAACUUUUUAUGUCUAAGUCAAAACUAGAUAAACAAAUUGAAACGGAUGAGUACAAUGGAAAACAAGAAAAGUAUCCUCGUUAGCCAAAUGCCUUUUCUUUAUUACUCCAUCUACUAAAAGUAUCCUCGUUAGCCAAAUGCCUUUUCUUUAUUACUCCAUCUACUUAACUUGUUCUUCUUAUUAAGGAAAGAGAUUUAGCCUCCAUUUGCCUGUGUUAAUAUAUGAGCAAAGGCUUUAGCAUUUCAAGUAAUAUGAAUUGCUUCAAAGCAGCAGCAUUAAUGAUCAUGUCCAUCAUGUUUUUCCCAUAUCAUUGGACUUAGUUUUUUCUCAGACCAAUAGUCUCAACAAGUGUUUCCUGGAUAUGAACAUUUCAGGGGAGGCCUGUACAACUUUAGACAAUUACACUUGGGAUGGUUUUUUAAAUAAUCACCCUUGUUUUGGAUUAGCUUUCAAUACAUAUUUACAAGCAUUGGCACAUUGGACUAACCAAACAAGACAUAUGUUUCUCAAUUCCACACAACAAAGUGACUGCUUAACUUUGAUAAUAACAAUAGUUCUGCUGAUAACUUUAGCUGUGGCAUUGAAAAGUUGACUAGUACUGGUGCCGGAGGCUGCUCUGAUAAUUAGAGAUCGACGUUGAGAACAAACUAGGAAGCAGAUUGAAAAGUCUGAGAGAUGACUCUAGGCUAAUGGAUUCAGGAGGAGGACUUAAGACUAUGGGUUGCAAUAAGUGUUUGAGGACAUGGAGAGAAAUAGCGAAAAAUGAUAUGAUGAAACUUGAAGAUGAUAUUUAUAGAUUUAGUAUGCUGAUUUUAUUAACAAGCCAAAGAGUUUCUGAUGAGAGUUGGGUUGACAAAAUCUUUCAUUACCUAGGAGACAAUUCUCUUCCUUUAGGUAAGUUUACUUCCUGCCUGCUAUAAACAUGUUCAAGUUUUGUUCUUCCAAGUUUUAACAUUUAACUAUGAUCUUGAUUGAUCAUUUUACUGUGCAGCUUCUUCUGUGGACGAUAGUGGAAAUGAAACUAGACGUCGAACUAAAUUUAAAACUGGUAAAUCUUGAAAUCCAUUUUCAUAAAAAUCACUGAUAUUGCUGCGGCGUUUCAGGACAAAAAUGUGUUCUUUUGGUUAAGCAUUGGUUUAUAUAUGCAGAUCUUUGGAUUCUAAUUGGUGGCGUAGUGGGUAUGGUGUUAGUAAUAAUCGUUACAUUGUGGAUCUUAUGGAAAAGGAAGGCUGAAGUUAAACCAUCAAGUGGAAGAUAUAGUAAGCCCUCUACACCAACAAUCAUUGUUCCAAAUCUGAAAUCAAUUUUCAUAAAAAUCACUGAUAUUGCUGCGUUUCAGGACAUAAAAGUGUUCUUUUGGUUAAGCAUUGGUUUAUAUAUAUAUAUGCAGAUCUUUGGAUUCUAAUUGGUGGCGUAGUGGGUAUGGUGUUAGUAAUAAUCGUUACAUUGUGGAUCUUAUGGAAAAGGAAGGCUGAAGUUAAACCAUCAAGUGGAAGAUAUAGUAAGCCCUCUACACCAACAAUCAUUGUUCCAAAUGUUUUUAGCUUAUUCCAAUUUUGCUUCAUGUUGGCAGUAUCAGAUGAAUCUUACUCUGAUGAAUCAACCUAUCGUAGACUAUCGCUUAAAGAAAUUUACUCCGCGACUGACAAUCUUAGCAUGUCCAACUUUAUAGGUCAAGCCCUAGCUGAUAAGAAAAUCGAACGAUGUAUAGUUGGCGUAGUCUCAGUAUUUUAAGUAUCAAAGGUACUCAAUUUCAUUGACAAUUCUUGAUAUUAGUAACAUUCAUAAGUCAGAAUAUCAUAUCUAGGGAGGUCUAACUUCCCUUUUUCCAAUUUCUUUACGAAUCGUUCCUUUUGAAAGUUGGGUAUUGAAAUGAUCGUAUUUUAUAGGGAAAGUAUACAAAGGAAUUCUGGCAGAUAGAAAACAUGUGGCAGUUAAGCACAUAAUUAAAGAUGAACAGAUGGAAACAUUUGUUAGAGAAGUUACAAGUCUCUCGCAUAUCAAACAUCCAAACCUUGUAUCCCCGCUAGGCCAUUAUGAUGGACCAAAUGAGUGUUUUCUAGUUUAUGAGCUAUGCCACAAUGGAAAUCUUUCCGAAUGGCCAUUUGGUAUGUUCUUUUCUCUUUGAACAUUUCUGAUCUUUGUCAACCUAAAUAAUAGUAUGUCAUAGAUCUCUAUACACCUGAUGAGCAGGUAAAAGUAAAUAUCUCUUGUGGAGACGCAGACUAGAAAUUGCACUUGAUUGUGCCCGUGGUCUCCUCUUUCUCCACUCAUAUCCUGAAGGCUCCAUUGUUCACCGGGAUAUCAAGGCAAAAUCUUAUUUCACAUCCAUAAUCUGUUCAUCCAUUUCCUAAAAAAAUUCUCAGUCAUCUUUCUCUUUUUUGGUGAAAGUUUGCAGCCAGCAAACAUUCUUCUAUCUUCUAGCUUUGAAGCCAAACUCUCAGACUGUCUGUCCAAAAUUAUUGGCAUUGGCCACCCAUACGCUAGCUCAGAAGUGAGAGGAACCUUUGGUUAUGUUGAUCCUGAGUACCAAAAGAACCGGCACGUUAAUACUUAUGGUGAUGUCUAUAGCUUUGGGAUAGUGCUGCUACUACUUUUAUCUGGGCAAAGGGUUAUCAACUUGGAUUUGAAGAAGCCUAUGCCUCUUAAGUAAAAUGGUAAACAUACUAACUCCUCCAUUUUCUCUUGCAUCUCCUUUCAACUUCUUUCUUUAGCGCGCGUCUUUUUUGAAUCAUAGGCGAAAAACCUGACCAAAGGUGGGAACAUCAAAGAAUAUGCUGAUCCAAAACUGGAGGGAAAAUUCUCAAUGGUGGCAUUGUUAUUUUCCACAAUACGGGGACGUAGAAUCGGUAUAAUAGAAUAACAACUUCAACUCGAGUUCAAGUAUGAACAAGAACACAACGAAGUUGAACAAAUACCCUCAACACAAGAUCAAAAUGAUCUUUACAAGAGGUGUAUUUUAUAUUUCAGAAAUAUAGAUGAAACAGAAAUUGUUAAGGCCAAGUCGUCCGAAUUCACGGACUUUCCUUAAGGAAUAAUUCCCCUCACUGUACCCGAGGUUAUGGAAUCUUCCUCCCAGGAUAAAAUGGCCUUCAAUCCGACUAUAGCGGUACCUCAAAUAGGCGGAUUCUUCGAACACACUCACGGUUUGAAUGAUCACACUUAGAGUAUUUUUAAGAAGAAGAAGAAGCUUGUAAUUCUGGAAAAAAAAAAUUCUCUAUCUUAACCUGUGGAAGAAAGCAGGUUAUUUAUAGCCACAACAUGCCUCUUCUGAAGAGAGGCAAUGGUUCAAUCCAAAGGUUGCACCUUUGCUGUAAGUUUAUGUCUGUUCAUGAAAGAUUGCAUCUUUUUCUGAACACUCAUCUUGUUUCAUGAAUAAGUGUGUCCUUUUGCUGAAUGGUUGCAUCAGUUUGUUCAACCAGUACAUCAGUUCAGAAAAUUCAAACAGUGCCUGCACAGUUUCAAAACACUGUUCACUGCACAGUUUUGAAACACUGGGAAUAUAAAUGGAGUCCAACAGAAAAUAUUUCUUGCAUUUUACAUAUAUUCAGAUCAUAUUUUCGUCAAAUAAAAUUUGUGCAAAAAGACAGAUCUCAUCGAUCGAUCAUUUGCCAAAUCCAAAUCCAAAUCCGAGCCGAGCGACGACGACGACGGCGCAAGGCAUCUCUAUUUUCUUGCCUCACUUAUCAUGUGGAGUAAGUGUUCAUUAAUAUAAACAAUACAAAGUUUCAUUCUCCCACCAACGUGGGAGAAUUAGUGGACUUUCCACUUUGGGAGUAUACCUUCUAAAUUGGUAUCUCCUUCCUUCCACAAUUUUUAUCCAUUUUUUCGAUUCACACUUCAUUCAUAUACUAUGAACCCAACAAUCCCCCACAUGAAGAAGGUAUAUAACAAUUACUAUUAAGAAGAAGGUAUAUUUUUUAAUUUUAUUUUUUCUGGAUUUUACUAAUUUUUAGAAACUAUAUUACAAGAAUCAAUGACAAAUAUUCUGAGAUGAAAGUGCAACUCACAUUUUUAUGGACUAAUUUGUUUAAAAAAAAAGGUAAGUGGACAUAGGUGGGGGUUGGGGGUUGGUGGGUGGGUUGGAUCUUUUACUUAUUUAAUUAUUACCUUCCGUAUUUUAGAAUGAAUAUGCUCUUUUUAUUUUAGCAACCAACUCCCAAUUGUGGUAUCUCUCUUUGAAGCGGAUUCCACUUCGCCCGCACAUAGGAGAUUUCUGAACGUUCAAUCUUGUAGAUUAAACUAUUUGGUCAAAUCUGCCAAAUUUAGAUAAUCAUUAAAAGACUUUUCACCUUAAGUCUUAUCCUUGUUUACUAUACAUUGUCUACAUCAUGAGAAUGGGUUGGGUAAUUGACAAUGUUGAACCUGUCAGACACAACUUUGUUUGAUCUCCUUGAAUCUAGCUCUUGGGAUCUCCAGUUUGCUAGGUAGAUUUACCUCCAUGUUGACUUGUCCUAGGCCUUAAACCCAUUCCCUUGGAUGUUCUUUCCAUUCCUUCUCUAGAUAGGCCUUUUAUAAGUGGAUCCGACACAUUAUCCUUUGACUUUACAUAGUCUAUAGUGAUAAUUUCACUAGAGAGAAGUUCUCUAAUGGUAUUAUGUCUUCAUCUUAUAUGAAGAGAUUUAUCUUUAUACAUCAUGCUCUCUGCCCUACCUAUUUCUGCUUGGCUAUCACAGUGUAUACAUACUGGUGCCACUGGCUUGGGCCAAUACGAAAUAUCUUCCAAGAAAUUUUGGAGCCAUUCUGCUUCUUCACCGGCUUUAUCUAAUGCGGUAAAUUCAGAAUCCAUUGUAGAGAGAGCGAUACAAGUCUGUUUGGAUGAUUUCCAAGAAACUACUCCUCCACCGAUAGUAAAUACAUAUCCACUUGUGGAUUUUACUUCAGUCGAUCCGGUGAUCCAAUUUGCAUUACUAUAUCCUUCAAGUACUGCAGGAUAUUUAUUAUAAUGCAAAGCAUAAUUUUGAGUGUAUUUAAGAUACCCCAAAACUCUUUUCAUUGCAAUCCAGUGAGUUUUGUUGGGAUUACUCGUGUACCGACUCAAUUUACCGAUAGCGCAUGCUAUGUCUGGUCGAGUACAAUUCAUUAUAUACAUUAAACAUCCCAAUACUCUUGCGUACUCCAAUUGUGAGUCACUUUCACCUUCAUUUUUUCGAAGUGCAAAGCUCCCAUCCAAUGGAGUCUUGGCAAUACCGAAUUCCAUAUACUUGAACUUAUCAAGUACCUUUUCGAUAUAAUGAGACUAUGAAAAAGCCAACCCUUGUGGAGUUCGAUGGAUUCUUAUACCUAAGAUAACAUCUGCGACUCCAAGGUCCGUCAUAUCAAACUUGCUCUUGAGCAUUCGUUUUGUUGCAUUUAUGUCAGAAAUGUCUCUACUGAUGAUCAACAUAUCAUCCACAUAUAAACAUACAAUGACUUGGUAAUUUGGAGUGUCUUUAAUAUAAACACAUUUAUCACAUUCAUUUAUUUUGAAUUUGUUUGCCAACAUGGUUUGGUCAAACUUUGCAUGUCAUUGUUUUGGUGCUUGCUUUAGUCCAUAUAAUGACUUGAUAAGUUUACACACCUUGUUUUCCUUUCCUGGAACAACAAAUCCCUCAGGUUGUUCCAUGUAUAUUUCUUCCUCCAAAUCUCCAUUUAGGAAUGCGGAUGCGGUUUUCACAUCCAUUUGAUGGAUUUGAAGAUCAUAUAAUGCCGCCAAGGCAAUUAACAUUCGAAUUGAUGUUAUCCUUGUUACUGGCAAGUAUGUAUCAAAGUAAUCAAGGCCUUCCUUCUGUUUGAAGCCUUUUACUAUAAGUCUUGCCUUGUAUUUGUCAAUAGUACCAUCCGCCUUCAUUUUCCUUUUGAAGAUCUAUUUAGAACCGAAAGGUUUAUUUUCAGGAGGAAUGCCAACCAAUUCCCAUGUAUGGUUGUUUAAGAUUGAAUCAAUCUCACUAUUGACUGCCUCUUUCCAAAAGGAUGAGUCUGAUGACAACAUCGCUUCUUUAAAUGUUUGAGGCUCAUUUUCUAAGAGAAAUGUUACAAAAUUUGAUCCAAACAAAGUUGACGUUCUUUGACGUGUACUACGUCUUGGAUUUUCUUAAUUAUGUACAUUCUCACUUGGUUCAUCUCGAGGUCGUUUNNNNNNNNNNNNNNNNNNNNNNNNNNNNNNNNNNNNNNNNNNNNNNNNNNNNNNNNNNNNNNNNNNNNNNNNNNNNNNNNNNNNNNNNNNNNNNNNNNNNNNNNNNNNNNNNNNNNNNNNNNNNNNNNNNNNNNNNNNNNNNNNNNNNNNNNNNNNNNNNNNNNNNNNNNNNNNNNNNNNNNNNNNNNNNNNNNNNNNNNNNNNNNNNNNNNNNNNNNNNNNNNNNNNNNNNNNNNNNNNNNNNNNNNNNNNNNNNNNNNNNNNNNNNNNNNNNNNNNNNNNNNNNNNNNNNNNNNNNNNNNNNNNNNNNNNNNNNNNNNNNNNNNNNNNNNNNNNNNNNNNNNNNNNNNNNNNNNNNNNNNNNNNNNNNNNNNNNNNNNNNNNNNNNNNNNNNNNNNNNNNNNNNNNNNNNNNNNNNNNNNNNNNNNNNNNNNNNNNNNNNNNNNNNNNNNNNNNNNNNNNNNNNNNNNNNNNNNNNNNNNNNNNNNNNNNNNNNNNNNNNNNNNNNNNNNNNNNNNNNNNNNNNNNCCCCUAUCACUUCUUAUCAUUUUGAUCUUUUUGUCUAACUAAUUUUCAACUUUAGUUUUAUAUUGCCUAAACGCAUCUAUUGCUUCAUCCUUACUAUUUAGCAAGUAGACAUAAUAAUAUCUAGUGCAAUCAUCAAUAAAAGUUAUGAAAUACUUUUUCCCAGCACGAGAUGGUGUUGACUUCAUAUCAUAAAUGUCAGUGUGUAUUAAGUCUAAGGAAUUCGAAUUCCUUUCAAUGGACUUAUAAGGAUGUUUUGUAUACUUCGAUUCCACACACGUUUGACAUUUUGAUUUAUUGCACUCAAAGUUUGGCAAAACUUCUAAGUUAAUCAGUUUUCGUAAUGUUUUGUAAUUAACAUGGCCUAAACGUUCAUGUCAUAAAUCAUAAGACUCAAGCAAAUAAGAUGAAUUCGAACUUUUAUUCAUUUCAACAGUCAUUACAUUCAUCUUAUAAAGGCCUUCUAUGAGAUAGCCUUUUUCUACAUACAUUUCUCCUUUGCUAACUACAAUUUUUCCAGAAAUGGUUACACAUUUGAAUCCGGUCUUAUCUAGGAGUGAAACAGAAAUUAAUUUCCUACUUAACUCCGGAACAUAUAGCAUAUUGUUCAGUGUCAAGACCUUUCCGGAAGUCAUCUUUAGGCAAAUUUUUCAUGUUCCCUCCACCUUAGCAGUAGCGAAGUUGGCCAUGUAAAGCAUUUCUUCUGCUUGAGCCGGAGCAAAUGACGAGAACAACUCUUUGUUUGCGUAAACAUGGCGUGUGGCACCAGAAUCCAUCCACCAUUCGCGUGGAUUCCCCACCAAGUUGCAUUUCGUGAACAUAGCACACAAAUUAUCAUAUUGUUUGUUGGACUCAAUCAUGUUCGCUUGGUCCUUUUUCUUGUCUUUCUUCGGGGCUCGACAGUCUAUAGACUUGUGGCCAAUUUUGCCACAAUUGAAGAAUUUUCCCUUGAACUUUUUCUUGGGUUGAUUGCUUCCAUGUUCAACUUUCUUUCUUUUCUUCGAGUUGUUUUGGCCAUCUUCUACAAUAUGGGCUCCAUUCAUUGUAGAAUUUCCCUUUGACCUUCUUUCGGAAGCUUUAUUGUCCUCUUCAAUACGAAGUCGGAAGAUAAGAUCUUCAACGGUCAUCUCCUUGCGUUUAUGCUUUAAGUAGUUUUUGAAGUCUUUCCACAAAGGUAGUAGCUUCUCAACUAUCGCUGCUACUUGGAAAACGUCAUUCACAAUUAAACUUUCUGCUAGGAGAUCAUGUAUGAUGACUUGCAACUCCUGUACUUGAGAGACAACAGAUUAGCUAUCUAUCAUUUUGAAGUCUAGGAACCGUGAAACAAGGAAUUUCUUAAUUCCCGCAUCCUCCAUCUUAUAUUUCCAUUCAAGUGCCCCCCACAGUUCCUUUGGGUUCCACUAUAGACAUUAUAGAGGUCGUCUUGGAGACCACUCAGAAUAUAGUUCCUGCAAAGGAAAUUCGAAUGUUUCCAAGCUUCUACAAUAACGAAACAGUCCUUGUCCGAGGUUCCCUCGGGCACCUCGGGAGCGUCUUCGCUAGUGAACCGUUUUAGACAUAAAGUGGUGAGGUAAAAGAACAUCUUUUGAUGCCACUGCUUGAAGUCAAUGCCAGAAAAUUUUUCGAGCUUCUUCGCCGGUGCCAUCGUUGGCGGAGCAUUUGUGCGACUUGAUGUGGCAAUAUUAUUUUCUCCCAUAGACGUUGUCGCAUCCAUCAUUUGACUUUCAGUUGUCAUUUUUUCCUGUCACCACAAGACAGAAAACUUAGUAUUUUUCAGAAUACUAUUUAUGAAGUUAAAUAACUUGAAACUCUUCUUCUUGUUUUUAGUUAACGAUGAAUUUUUUAUUACUUCGAAUCGUCAACCGAGUGAACCUUAACUUGUGAUGAAGGUUUUAUGUCUUCUAAUCACUAGUUAAAUUCAAGCGGAGUAGAAAGCCUAAGCUUUAAUCUCCAAAAACAAGCAAUACAGAUUCUGUAAAGAUAUUCCUUAAGAUUGUUAUUUUCCACAAUACGGGGACGUAGAAUCUGUAUAAUAGAAUAACAACUUCAAAUCGAGUUCAAGUAUGAACAAGAACACAACGAAGUUGAACAAAUAUCCUCAACACAAGAUCAAAAUGAUCAUUACAAGAGGUGUAUUUUAUAUUUCAGAAAUAUAGAUGAAACGGAAAUUGUUAAGGCCAAGUCGUCCGAAUUCACAGACUUUCCUUAAGGAAUAAUUCCCCUCACUGUACCCGAGGUUAUGGAAUCUUCCUCCCAGGAUAAAAUGGCCUUCAAUCCGACUAUAGCGGUACCUCAAAUAGGCGGAUUCUUCGAACACACUCACGGUUUGAAUGAUCACACUUAGAGUAUUUUUAAGAAGAAGAAGAAGCUUGUAAUUCUGGAAAAAAAAAAUUCUCUAUCUUAACCUGUGGAAGAAAGCAGGUUAUUUAUAGCCACAACAUGCCUCUUCUGAAGAGAGGCAAUGGUUCAAUCCAAAGGUUGCACCUUUGCUGUAAGUCUAUGUCUGUUCAUGAAAGAUUGCAUCUUUUUCUGAACAGUCAUCUCCAUUUUUUCCAUUCACACUUCAUUCAUAUACUAUGAACCCAACAGGCAUUUGAACUUGUAUUUAAGCUAGCUUUGAGUAGCAUAGGGCUUAAGAAGCAAAGACCAUCCAUGGAACAGGUGGUUGCUAAACUCGAAGAGGCUCUUGAUCUAUCAACAAGAAUUGAGUCAGUCCAUCCUUAGUUCAAGUCAGUCCAUUCUCUUUAUCUGGUUAGUCCAGAUUAAAUCUGAUAGCUCACGUACAAUUCACUUUUGUUAAUGCUACCCAAGAUUUCAGAAGUGAAUCUCGAAUUUACAGUCAGUAGGUCCAGAAAGAGUUCAAUACAUUAGUAUAAAUUUUUCAUAUAUGUUCUUAUGGCAAGCGGAAAGCAAUGGUUCCCAUUAACUCGCUGAAGAUCUGCCUUUGUACAAUUACUUCAGUUUCCUUUUAUGGACAUUUAGAUGAUCUCAAUUAGGUGAUGAAACUGAAGAAUCAUCAACGAUAAAAAGUGUAUAGUGAUUGUACAUUUGUACCAAGUGAUUCAGAUAAGAAAAUUAUUACUAUUAUUAACUUGAAGAGUACAGGGAGUGAUGCUUACAUAACAAGGAUUCACAUUAACAUCAUGAGUAUAGAGAUACAAGUAAAACUAUACAAAGCUUCAUUCAAAAAAACAGAAGCUGCAGCAGUGUAGUGACUAGCUCUUAAAACUUGAGCCCAUAUCACCAGUCAAUGGAAAGGACACCAAAGCAUCCUACACCAUGGUCGUCCAUGGUUUAUAUAUACAAGUUGGAUGCUUGAAAAUAUUUACCACACAUUAAUGAAUUGAUCCUCUAUAAAAACUGGAGAGACCAAUCCAGAAUAGGUCUUCUCAUUGUACUCAUGCAAGAUUCUGAUGAGUGUACUAGCUUUCUUGCUAGCUUUUGAGUUGCCUUCAGCGAGGAGGGAAUACAAAGGUCCCAUGAGAGAUGAGUUCUUUACUAAAACAGGAACUACAUCUGCCCCACCAUUGAUACACAAAGCCAGCAACAAUGAAACACAAUACUCCUUUGCUGCCCUUGAAUUGCAAGAACUUAGAACAUUCACAAUAAUAGGUAAAGCUCCAGCAUAAAGAACAGCCAUUGCUCCGUCUAAUCUUUCAGAAAGAGUUGACAAAACUGCCAAAGAAUCUGUAAUGAGAUCUUCCCUUUUGAAAGAUUUCAACAGAUUAACCACCAAAAGGACUAAUCCAGCGGCAAUUACUCUCCAGUGGUUUUCGGGGCGCCUUAAGAGGCCAAAAAUGGUGACCAAGGCAUUCUUUUUUCCCCCGUCAGUUCCAUUUCUUAGCAGCUCCAAAAGUGAUGGAAUGAUCUCCGGAUUUUCUCCAAUCAUUUUGCGGUACUCUUCUACAGAUGUCAGGUAGAAUAAUGUACCAGCAGCGUGCUGUCGUGCUUCCAUCUUUAGUCCUCCCUUCAAAACAUCAAGUAUCGCGAACAAACCUCCAUUUCCAACAAUUAUGCUUUUGCUGUUAGAGUUUUUCGAGAGGUUCAGUAGAGUAGCCAUUGCAUUCUCUUGACAAGAGGAAUCCCUUGAAGUAACAAGAUUCAGGAGAGGUGAGAUUGCACCAGCUUCCACCAAACAAGACCUGUUAAAAAUGCUUGUUUUGGUGAGCAAAUGAAUUUCGAAAACAGCAUUAUUUUGCUGUUCCAUUGUUCCAGCAACUAGUCUGCCAACUAGAAAACUUGCAAGCAACUUCAUAGCCUGCUCAUUAGCCACACUACCUGUAGCAACAGAUUUUACAGUAUCGCGAUUUCGCCUGCCAGUUUCCACAAACGGAAUGCCAUUCACAUAGCAAUACUGUUUGAUCAAGAACUUCAAAGCCAAAUUAGGAACCAAAUCAAUGCUUGUUAACCUCUCACCAGUCUUUGGACAAGUGGAGUUUCCAGAUCUGAACCAUUUGAGGAUCGAAGACCGAUCAUAUGUGUGACCUGAGGCUAUUGUCACAGGAUCACUCAUGAUUUCCAGCGUAAUUGGACACCUAAAAUCAUCAAGAUUCAAGAACCUGAUGACUUGAUCUGCAUUACUGCUGCCUCCAUUGAUUUGCGUACUUGCUACAUUAUCCAGUACUUCAAACAGAGUUCCCCUGCAGUAAAUCAUGAACCCCAUUAAGCUACUGAGAAGCCCCAUAUCUGUAUUUCCCUCUGAGAAAAUCUCAUUAUCCAAGAACUUAACUUCUUUAUUGCACGCGCUCCAACAUUUAAUCCCUAAAUAAUCAAGAACCCUUUUCAAAUCACUUGAUUCUGGAAUAAUUCCAUCUUCAAGUUGAUCCAAAAUCUUCAAAACAUUCAUUUGCACUCUCCUAUCAUCCAUUUCUACUUCAAACUUCAAUUUAACAGCUUGAUUUCUCACAAACUCCACCACUUCUUUAACUUCCACAGAAACAUCCAUUUCCUCCAAAGGCAGAACAUCAAGUGCCACAGCAACAGCUCUUGCCAGCAUCUGAAUCUGGCAAGAGACAUCCUCGGACUUGGCUAACAUCCAUAUCCUGGCAUCUUCUCUGCUACAAUCUUCCAACAAGAACUGAUACUUCUGGAAGAUAAAAUGGAUCUCUGAUAAGCUACUCAAAAUGCUGGAAUUUGCAAAUCUUGAAACCCCAUUUGGAAUUUCUUUGACAACGACGAGAAUAUCCUCAAUCAAACGUAUCGAGUUUCGACAAUUCUUAUUAUUAGUAAAGAAUGUUCUCGACUUGUAUUCACAUAUUUUUUGGCCUAGUUGGAUCAGAGAUGUAACAAGGCUAGAAAAACAUAUUGUUUCACUAGGACGUAUAGCCGGAAAAUUCAAAAUCCGACGAAUGAAUUCGUUAGAUUUGUCGUUGAUCAUUGAAGUAAAACAAACAAAAAGAAAAAAGAAAUAUCAAAUCUAAGGAACUAUACAAGAUAAGUAUAUAUGAACAAAAAGGAAAAGAAAGUGUGUAUAUGGACUUAUGUGGGAACUUUUUUAGUAGGUUUUGUGUAUGAGAUUGUUAAAGUAGUUGCUCUCUCUCUCUAUAUAUAUAAGUUGGUUAGUUGAAAAAAUAAAUAAAUAUAUAUAUGAAAGGACACGUGUUAGAAGAUCAAGGGUGAUUAGUGAUCGAACGGUCAAGAUUUUGACAAUUUUUUAGUUGACUAGGAUAUUUUGUAAAGGAUGGUCCGUUGAGACUUUCUUUAAAUUAUUGAAGCAUGUGUAGUAUGGGAAGAAGGGUACGUGAAAGUACGUAGCCGACACUUAAUAAUUAACGUACUAGUGACAUUAUUGGCACAUUGAAAUGGAAAAAAAGGAAGAUAUUAUAUUCUCCGUCGCACACCUUAAUAAAUAAUAAAUAAUACUUAAUAGGGAUGAAUUUAUUAUAGCACUAUUUGAAUAUAUAGAGUAAUAAAUUUAUUGUUUGAGUAACGAAUAAUAAUUUAAUAACAAGAUAAAAUGGACACAAAAUGGUAAAUUAUCUAUUAUUUUUACCUAAUAAAUAUUGUUGAAUAUCUAUUUUAAUAUAUUAGAUAAGCAAAGAUGGACGGAGGGAGGAAGUAUUGACAUGCAAAUUAAUGCUUGAUUUUAUGUUCGAAGUUAAUUAGUCUUGAAAAGGAAGAAAGGGGGGAAAUGACUUGACGAGAGAUAUUUAUUUGGUGUAUCUAUGAAGGUUCAUUAUUGUCCAAUUAAUAUAUUGUGAUUCAAUGUUAUAAAUGAUAAUAAUGGUCCAAAUUUGCCCUUAUAUUUUGCGGAAAGGUCUAAUUUUGCAUUAUGUUAGAAUUUUGGUUCUCAAUGUUAUAAUUUUGAGAAUUUACUUUUAGUCAAUAACAAUAUAUAUUAUAUACUGUGACAUUAUUGGCAUUUCGAAAGGAAAAAGAAAAACAAGACAUUAUUGACAUGCAAAUUAAUGUGUAGUUAAGCAAUUUUUGCUUUAGUUAAUGUCUGAAGUUAAUUAGCCUUGAAAAGUAAGAAAUUAAGAAGGAAAAUGACUUAACGAGAGAGAAUUAUUUGGUAUAGAGCAAAUAUUUCAAGGAGGUUGAUUAUGUUGACAAUAAUGGUGAUACUGUUACUUCAAAUAUUGAGGAUGAAGAGAGAAUUUUGUAACAUUCUUGUAUAUAGUUUUGGGAUAGAAUAUAAGUUAAUUGUUAGUUGUUAGUUUGUUACAAGAAUAGACAGUUGUACAUAGACGUUAGGAAACUACACAUAGACCGUAGGAAGUUUUUAUUUCUUCUCAUGUAAGCCAAUAGUUUCUAUUUUUUCUCAUGUAAGCCAGUAGUUUGUAUUUCUUCUCAUGUAAUCCAAUUCUAUCUUGCAUAAAUCAUGACAUGAAGAAUAAACAAAUCACUCAGGAAAUUCCUCAAUACUUCUCUUCACUUUUCUACAUGGCAUUAGAGACAGGUUAAUCUUUUGAGUCCAAUUUUUUCUCUCUCUCUCUUCUCAAUCACGGAAGAUCCUAGUGAUAACUACUCAAGCUCCACCUCCUGCUCCAGUUUCCUCUGCUCUGGAUCAGAGCAACUCCUUCUUUUUGCACCCUUCUGAUUCUCUAGGGUUGCUACUCACUCAAACUCUUUUUGAUGAGACUGGUUAUAGAGCUUGGAGAAGAUCCAUGCUCAUUGCUCUUUCUGCUAAGAAUAAACUAUGCUAUAUUGAUGGAUCUUCUCAGGUUCCUUCAUCUCUUUCUCCUGAUUUCAAUCUUUGGAAUAGCUGUAAUGAUAUGGUAACCUCUUGGCUACUGAACGCUUUGUCCAAAAAUAUUAUUGGAAGUGUAUUAUAUUCCAGUUUAGAUCGAGCCUUAUGGAAGGAUCUUGAGGAUAGAUUUAGAUAAACUAAUGGAGCUCAACUCUAUCACCUGCAAAAAUAAAUCAACAAUUUAACUCAAGGGACCUCAGAUAUUGCAGGUUAUUUCACUAGGUUCAAAAUGCUUUGGGAUGAGAUUGACACCUCGUAUAACAAGGUUACCUUCUCCUGCACGUGUACCUGUGAAGGAAAGGAGAAGAUGUUGAAAUCUCAACAAGAUGAGAGGUUGAUUCAUUUCCUUAUCGCGUUGAAUGAUGCUUAUUCACCCAUAAGAUGUAACAUUCUUAUCAUGAACCCUCUUUCUAGUUUUAAUCUUGCUUAUUCUUUAAUUCUUCAAGAUGAAAAAUAGAGGGAAGCUUACAAGAAUCCAUCUUUUCCAGGAGAACCCUCUUCUUACUUGGUUACUCAAUAAGCCAGUCUUCAUCCUAGCACAAGGUUCUCUUAUCCUAAAUCCACCCAAUCUAUUGACUCAAAGAAAAGAAAGAAUUUGGUGUGUUCCUAUUGCAAUAAGACACGACAUACCAUAGAAAAAUGCUACAGAAUCAUAGGAUUCCCAGCAAAUUUUAGGUUCACAAAAGAUUCAAGGACACAUGGGACAUUAAAAGGGAAUGUUGUGAUGAUCCCUGAAUUUGUCCCCAUUUCAGAUAACCCUUCUCAGGUUUCUUCUAUAUCUCAAGAUCAAUUCAUCCAACUUGUCAAGCUUCUUCAAAAUGUACAGGUCAGUGACACAAGGAUCUUAGAUUCAACUAUCCAUACUAAUGUCCUCCAGUGUGAUUGUAAUAUCUUUCAUAACCCUAUAGCUUAUUCAACCUAUGAUAAUUCUUCACAUUGGAUCAUUGAUUCUGGGGCUUCGGAACAUAUGUCCUUUGAUCCUACAUUUUUCACCUUUCUCACUCUUUUAUCUUUACUAAUUUUUGUCAAUUUUCCUAACUCUUUCAGGGUACAAGCCACAUAUAUUGGAUCUGUUAGUCUAUUUCCUGACCUUGUUCUACAUAAUAUACUUCUUAUUCCUUCAUUCAAAAUUAAUCUUAUCUCUGUACAAAAAAUUUUGCAGACAGUUGCUUUGUCAUGUUACAUUUACCCCCACAUAUUGUGUUAUGCAAGGUCUUUCAAUAAAGAUCCCUCUAGUACUUGGUGAAGCAAGAACAGGAGUCUACAUGCUUUAUACAACUAGUUCUCAAUCACGUUUUUUCUUCAAGUCUCAAUUAGAUCCUAAUUCUAGUAUUUCCAACUCUGUUUCUAGAAGUACUUUUGGACCUGUAAAGUCCCAUUCUCUGGUGGCAUUAUGGCAUAAUAGAUUGGGACAUCUACCUUUCUAUGUAAUGAAUAAAUUAAUUUUUAUUUCUUCUUUAAUCAAUGAAAAUUGCUCUUGUGAUGUGUGUCCUUCGGCUAGAAAAUCUAAGCUACCUCUUCCCUAUAAUUCUAUUAAAAGUUUAGCUUUGUUCGAUUUGCUACACUUGGACACUUGGGGACCUUACAAAUCACUCACUCAUGAUGGCUAUAAAUACUUCCUCACCAUAUGGAUGAUUUUAGUAGAAUGACUUGGACAUAUCUUUUAACUACUAAAAGUAAUGCUUUCUCUGUUUUCAAACCUUUCAUAGCUCUGAUUGAAAGACAAUACAAUGCUAAGGUCAAAAUUGUAAGGUCUGACAAUACUUUAGAGCUUGGAGGUAGUUCUCUUCUGGUUGAAUUUUUUACCACUGCUGGUAUAAUACAUCAGACUUCUCACACUGCUUUCUCUAAAAAAAAUAGAGUUAUUAAGAGGAAGCAUAGACACCUCAUAGAGACUUAUAGAGCUCUACUACAUCAGUCAAAUCUUUCCAUAUAUUAUUGGGGGGAAUGUCUUCUUACUGCUACCUAUCUAAUUAAUGGAUUUUCCUCAUUUGUUCAUCGUAAAAAAACACCUUUUAAGCUAUUUUUUAGAAAAACACCUAAAUAUGAUCACCUUAAGAGAUUUGGUUGCCUAUGUUUUGCUUCUACCCUUGCACAUAAUAGAGCUAAAUUUGUCCCUAUAGUUAUCCUUUGUGCUUUUAUAGGCUAUCUAUCAUAUAAGAAAGGGUACAAAUUAUUAGAUUUGAAAAAAUCAGGGCUGUGUUUGUUUCCAGGAAUAUGAGAUUCCAAUAAAACGUGUUUCCAUUCCUCUCACAUUCCACACCAUCUAUUUUCCCAACCACUCGUUCAUCUGCAACUGAUGACUUGCCAUCUACUACUUUUUCACCACACUCCACACAACCUGAGAUAGCUUCACCUACUCUUGAUUAACAACCUCCUGAUCCUAGUCCACCCACUUCUUCUUAAAAUGAUGUACCUUCUAGUUCCGAAUCUUUUACUCUUGUUCCUGCUAAGCCAACCAGAAGAUCAGAAAGGCAACACAAGGUACCAAGCUAUCUUAAUGACUAUAUUUGCAAUUCUGUUUAAUUGACUGAUGUUACCUCAACCUGUUAUACCACUUCUUCUAAUCCUACUUUUUCUUUCUUUUACUACUUUAUCUACCCCUAAUCAGUAUCUCUUAAACUCUCUCUCUUUUGCAUUUUAGAACCCCAAAACUUUACCAAGCCAUCAUGUAUCCUGGAUAGCAGAAAGCUAUGAAAGCUGAGUUUGAGGCCCUUGAGUCCAACCAAACUGGGGAUGUCAUUGAAUUACUGAUUGAUAAGAAUGCCUUGCCAUGUAAAUGAGUCUAUAAAUUCAAGCAUAGGUCAGAUGGUUCCAUUGAGAGAUUGAAAGGUAGACUAGUGGUUCGCGGUAAUAUUUAAAGAGAAGGGAUUGAUUUUAAUGAAACAUACUCACCAAUGGUUAAGAUGACCACCAUUAGAUGCUUCUUGGUAGUAGCAUUUAAGAAGAACUAGGAUUCAAAUCAGCUUGAUAUUAAUAAUUCUUUCUUGCAUGGGGAUUUGCAAGAAGAAGUUUAUAUGCAAUUUCCCCAGGCAUGUCCCCUCUCAGUCUUAAUCAUGUUUGCAAACUACGGAAGUCACUAUAUGGCCUGAGGCAAGCCUCAAGGUAGUGGUAUGCUAGAUUGGCUGCAGCACUACAAUUUAAAGGCUACACUUUUUCUUUAAAUGAUUACUCAUUGUUUUUUAAAAAUAAUGGUAAUCUAAUCUCUAUCCUCACUAUGUAUGUAGAUGACAUAUUGGUCACAGGGAACGAUGUUGCAGAGUUACACAGUCUCAAGCUAUUCCUUAACACAAAAUUCAAAAUUAAAAAUUUGGGUAACUUGUAUUACUUCUUGGGUAUGGAAAUCCUUCAUGAAUUUUAAGGUUUGAUCAUUUUCCAACGCAGGUUCACCCUUGACCUUCUCUCCGAAUUCAAAUGUGACCAUUUGUCUCCGAUUUCAUCUUAUUUGGACCCUUCUUUCAAAUUAAGUGUUGAUUCAAGGAAUCUCUUACUCAACCCCACCAUCCAUCGGAGGAUAAUUGGUCAUCUUAACUAUCUCACCCACACACGGCUAGAUAUUUUCUUUGUCGUUCAACAUCUUUCUCAAUUUAUGCACUCUCCUUGCACACCUCACUACAAUGCUGCUCUACGGGUUUUUCGUUAUUUACUCCUUGACCUUGGUCAAGGUUUGAUCAAGUCGUCCUCUCCCUCUUUUUCUCUACUUGCUUUUUGUGAUGCCGAUUGGGCAUCGUGUGUUGACUUCCGACGUUUAAUCAGCGGAUUCUUUAUCAGUUUAGGCGGAUCACCAAUUUCUUGGAAAUCUAAAAAGCAAGUCUCUAUUUCCCUUUCCUCUGCUAAAGCAGAAUACCGUUUCAUGCGUAGAUUGGUCUCCGAGCUCACUUGGCUUCAUCGUCUCCUUCAAGAUCUUUCUCUCAUACCUGAGCUGCCUAUACCAGUUCACUCGGACAGUAAAGCCACCCUCCAUAUCGCUAAAAUUCGGUCUUUCACAAGCGCACAAAACAUGUUGAAAUUGAUGGCCACUUUGUCAGGCAACAAUUUCUCUUUGGUCUCAUUUCCCUAAAUUUUGUGCCGCUUUCUUUUCAACUAGCAGAUAGUUUUACUAAACCAUUAUCGGGACCUUCUCAUUUCUCUGUACUUCCUAAGUUGGGGCUGUCUUCUACACCCUCCAACUUGACGGGGGGUGUUGACAAUAAUGGUGAUACUGCUGCUACAAAUAUCGAGGAUGGAGAGAGAAUUUUGUAACUGUCUUGUAUAUGUUUCUGGGAUAGAAUAUAAGUUAAUUGUUAGUUGUUAGUUUCUUACAAGAAUAGACAGUUGUACAUAGAUUAUAGGAAGCUACACAUAGACCGUAGGAAGUUUCUAUUUCUUUUCAUGUAAGUCAAUAGUUUCUAUUCCUUCUCAUGUAAACCAAUUCUAUCUUGUAUAAAUCAUGACAUAAAGAAUAAACAAAUCACUCAGAAAAUUCCCCAAUACUUGCUCUCACUUUUCUAUAGAUUAUUAACUGUCCAAUUAUUAUAUAUUGACUAAAGGCAUUUCGAGUUAGAAUUAUAAUAGAAUAACAAUUGAAGGCAAUUUCGAGUUAAAUAAUAGAGUAUAACAAGAAAAUGGAAUAAUCCAAACUUUUAAUAGAGACAAAGUUAAACCUUUUCACAAAGUGCAAAAGCUAAUUCGGACCGGACCGUCUUCAAUUGAUGUAUAAUAAUAUUGAUAUUCAAAUAUUUGCUUAUUUCAUUUUUGUUGUUAAAUAUUACUAGCACAAACAACAGAUUAAUUAUGCUCAUCAAAAUAUAUGUGAAUUUGGGGAAAUUACGCAAUUAAGAUUUAAAUCUUCUUAUUCUUUUACUUUUUUUUUUAAAGAUUUUCAUUCAAGUUCUUUGAUGAUUAGAUAACACUUUUAAGUACUUGAAGGGUCAAUAACAAAUUAAAUUUUGCCUUGGAACUUUUUUCGGUCCUUCAGAUUUAGGAGUAAUAUUAUAUGAGUUGGCAUGAUGCAUGUUACGAAAUUUAACACAAGUAUGGGAAUAUAAACAAGUCAGCAAUUACUAGGACAGAUAAGAGGCACCGGCAAAAUUUUAGCAUUGAAUCACUCUAUGAAAAAUGUAUUUUUAAAUUAUAGGUGUACUAUAUUCUAUAUGAAAAAUGUAUUUUUAAAUUAUAGGUGUACUGUAUUCUAUAUGAAAAAAUGCAGUAUGCAUCGAAGUUGGGAGGCUUCGUUUAAUGUUAUAUCAUGUAAUAAUGUGUUGGAACGUACAUUCCGCCCUCGAGGCGUCUCCAUUUUCGUUUUAGAGGAAGUAGAGCCGUCAAUAUAGCCAGGCCCGUUGAGUCGGUUCAAUUCAACCUGUAAUUUGAUGGAGUUGGGCUUCAAUAUUUGCAGUCCAUUUAAGAAUAAAGCUUUUUAGCACAGCCCGUAUAAGCCCGUGGCUCGUGGGGCUGAAGCAAUGUGGGUUGGGCGAGCCUGUGGGCCUGCCCGUAAGUCAAAUACCUACAACUAUUUAAAUUGUUUAUUAGUAUUUUUAUUUGGUUCAAAGAAUAUCAUGUCAAACGUUAUUUAAUUUCGCUAUUAGGAGUAUUUUUUGGGAUGUUGGAGACGUGAUUAACAAGUAUUAAUACUAUGAAAUAUUGUCUGGUAAUAUUUAUGUUUAUUAAUACUCUAAAAUUAAAUUAUAAAACAUUAUUUUUUAAAAAGUGGGUUGGCCCGUGAGGCCCGCAGCCCAUAGAGUAAUGGUGUAGGCUUGGUAUUUUUUGACCCAUCAUUUUGAUGAGUCAGCCUGACCUAAUCUGUCAAACUCAAAGCCCGUGUGGACUAGCUCGGAAGGGCUGGGCCGACCCACAUUGACAGCUCUAGGAGAAAGUUAUGGAUAUAUACGAUCAACAAGUUUAUUAAUAUGAUCGAAAUAUACAUAAUUAAUGUGUAUAUAUUUCGUAUAUAUAUGUAGAAUAUAUUUACGAUAUAUAUGUAUUUAGUAAAAAGCCAACAUAUAUAAUCUAUACACUACAUAUUUUAUAAACUUAUUGACUCAAGUGUUUAGAGCAAUAACAUCCUUUCGUUUUCAUUCAUUUAAUUUGAACUUUAUUUAAAAAUUAAUUUUUCUUUUUUUAUUUGUCUAUCUUAGUAAAUUAAGAAAAAAUUAUUACUUAUUCUAGUAUUAUUUUUAUUAUUAAAUAGCUACAUAAAUUAGUACUUAAUAGUCAUAUUUAAACACGAAAAGUAUAAUCAGUAAAAUUAAUUUAAUAAAAUAAAUUCAUGAUAAAUAUUUUUUUUAGUAAUUUCAAGUCAAUAAAAAUCCAAAUAAAAAUAAUGCAUGGAGUAUUUUUUUCCUUUUAUAACAUUAUGAUCCGAUCCGAAUCACCUCUAUCGAUGGCAGUGGAAUCUUUAAUUAAAUAGUACUCGUUUCUCUGUUCACUUUUUUAUGUCAGUUUUUAACUUGAUACAAUUUUUAAAAAAUUAUUAUUGAAAUAAUUAUUUUAUUAUAUUAUUUUUAUUAAUUAUUCUUUAUACCAAAUCAGUUUUAAAUCCAUUUUAGUAUAAUUUUUUUGUUUUCGUUUUAUGUAGGGGUUCUUUGAUUUUGACAAAAAUUGUACUGUUCUUUAUUGAAUUAAUCAAAAUCUGAGUGUUUUUAGUUAAUAUUAUCUAUUCCGCAUGUUUAAUCGUGUUUUACUUUGGAUAAUGACUAGAAAACUUUUAAAUUUUUGUAUUUAUAUUGUAUAUUGAUUUUGAUUUUUUUUUAUACUGAAUUGGACCCAUUUUAAUGGUGAUCUUAUUGUUGUGAAUUACAAUGUCAAUAUCUGGACAAAUUGGAACUUGAUUUGCAUGUUUGAUAUGAGAUAUUUUUUCGUCUUUCUUGAUAAACCACUAUAGAGUUGUUUUUGCUGCAUUUUUUCAUUUAUUUUAAAUAGAUCAGUGGUUGAUAAAGAUUUGUUUUUGGUUAAUGACUAAAUAAAAUAUGUAAACUUAAAUUUAUAUGUUCAAAACAUAAUUAAUAAGAUUAAUUUGAUAAAAUAAAUUUAUAAUAAAUUUUUUCUUAAUGGGUGUGCCAAGUCCAUAGGCUCAACUAAUAUGAAAUAGAGGGAGUAAUUGCUAGCAAAUCAUGAAACGACAUGAUCAGAGAAUUUAAAAUUUAAUACUACAAUUAACUUAGUAAAUCAAUAGGCAACUACGAUGUAAGUAAAUGAUACAAUUGUAUACAUUCACUGCACCCUUUCAAUUCCUUACCCUUUCAAUAUAUAUAUAUUUAGGAUUAGUAUAUUAACAUGAUAUGAUUACUAUUUAAUUAUUUAAUUAAUUAAAUAUUUUAUAAUAUGAUUUUAAUGUAGUAUGGGGAUAAAAUGAUAAUCUAACUUUACCUCUAAAUUCUUCCCACUUUUAGUAUAAUAUUACAAAUAAAUAGCAAAUAAAAUUGGAGUACCAAUACAUAUAUAUAUAGUUUUCAAAUAAAUAUAUUGUAACAAAUUAUUUAAAUAAAUAGAUUAAAUAUUAAAUGAAAUGAUCCAAGUCUUCAAUGAUUAUCCAUUUCCAUUGAGAAGUAAUGGCCAUCCUUUCCCUAUUUGCGGGGUAGUGGUUUGUUUGUUACUAUUGCUUGGGAGUUAAAUAAGUUGUUUCUUAGCAUUUAGGUAAUAGAAUUAGUGGAAUCAGUUUAGAUCAGAAUAAUUAGGAGUAACAAACGUGUUCUGUUAUUAGUAGCUUUUAUCUAUUUAAGGACUCUUAUAAUUGAGAAAUGAAAAACAGUUUCACUUGACGUCCCUUUAUUGUUAUUUACAAUUUCUAUCAAUGUCACCACAAGGGAGAUGAAAUCCUCUCUAAUAGAUAAGUUAUUUUUCUACAAACGAUUUCAAGAAGAAUAUUUCCCCCAACCAUCAGCUGUUCAUUCUUUAAUUCCACUGUAUGAUUUCUUCGCAAGGUUGAAUGGCUUGAUCCAAAAUCUGCAAUCAUUAUAAUAAUAGAAUGACAAAAUCAUAUUGUCUCUUAUUACCGCGGAAAUCAUUUCAAUACGUUUAAUCACUUUUAGGACAAUGUAAAUCAUUCCAAUGUACUGAAUCCAAAUUAGUUCCCUAUGAACUUCAACGAACCACUUCAAGAAGCAUACUUAUCUCAACCACCUGCAUAUAUUCUUUAGUUGUUUGUUUCUAUUUAUUGAGUGGACUAUUGCUUAGAUACUAUUACCUCUGUGGCUGGAUUGCCAAUCUCCUCAAAUCUAACACCUUCAGAUCCAGUUCAAUGGGAAACAAAUUGCAUUAUAAAGAAAAUCCUAUUAUCCCUGAACUAAUUAAAAUCAUAUUUAUGACAACCUUAAGUGUAUAUGUGGCACAUUGUUUGAAUCAACACACGGAAGGGGCAUGAAUUGUAUUUUUAUCUCCUUAACCAAUAAAAAUGUGCCACGUGUCUAAAAUGAAAUUAAAUAAUAAAUCAACGACGUAUGCAUUUGGAUUUAUUUGAUGAAUUUAUUAUUUGAUGAAUUUAUUAAUUAUGAUUUAUUUGAUAAAACUAGAUUUAG
rnacentral:lncRNA from 1 species